ACACUUACCUGGCAGAGGAGAUACUAUGGUCAUGAAGGAGGAAGGUGGUUUUCCCAGGGCAAGGCUUAUCCAUUACACUCUACUGUGCUGAUCCCUGCGAUUUCCCCAAAUGUGGGAAACUUGAAUGCAUAAUUUUGUGGUAGCGAGGGACUGCAUUCAUGCUAUCCCCUG